rnacentral:rRNA from 1 species
CCAGACUCCUACGGGAGGCAGCAGUGGGGAAUAUUGCACAAUGGGGGAAACCCUGAUGCAGCGACGCCGCGUGAAGGAUGAAGUAUUUCGGUAUGUAAACUUCUUUUGACAGGGAAGAGUAGAAGACGGUACCUGUCGAAUAAGCCACGGCUAACUACGUGCCAGCAGCCGCGGUAAUACGUAGGUGGCAAGCGUUGUCCGGAUUUACUGGGUGUAAAGGGCGUGUAGCCGGGUUGACAAGUCAGAUGUGAAAUCCUGCGGCUUAACCGCAGAACUGCAUUUGAAACUGUUGAUCUUGAGUACUGGAGAGGCAGACGGAAUUCCUAGUGUAGCGGUGAAAUGCGUAGAUAUUAGGAGGAACACCAGUGGCGAAGGCGGUCUGCUGGACAGCAACUGACGGUGAGGCGCGAAAGCGUGGGGAGCAAACAGGAUUAGAUACCCUCGUACUC